CUUUGCGUCAGAGCUCUGUGUUACAAAAAAAGGUGAAGUCUUACUCAAUUCAACAGUUUUUAUGCAAAGUCCUCACGGGGAAGAGACUGAUGCCCUGCAAUGCCUCAGGACUCUCCAGAAUGUUUUCACCAGCAAAAAGGCCCUCAGCAGAUGCAGCCUCUCGACCUUGAACUUUCUAGCCUCCAAAAUGGACUAUCGGUACUGAAACCCAGCAAGCUGAAAUCAGCAAAACAAGAUGGUCUUGCUAACUUGAGGAAGCUGUAGCAGCUGGAAGCUCCAGAGAGGAGGGGGCUCAGAGUCUGCACAUCAAUGGGGAGACAUCAUUCUGGCUGCAUUAUGAAUGGAUGGUUUGGAGGAAGAAUGUGGAUAGCUAAACAAGAAGGAGAAUAGAAAGAAACUACUCUUAAGACUAUUGCAAUAUCCAGGUGCAAUGUGCUUUGUUUCUGACUGCAGACUAUAAUGUUUAUUCCUAUUGGGGGCAGAGCAAGAUUUCAGUUUCUUUUCUCAGCAACAAGAAAAUACUCUGUCUGAAAUCAAGCAACUUCUGGGAAGACCAAGAGUGAUGGAAACUAGAGUUACAAAGCAAAAACCCUACAUCCUGAAUGCCCAGCCCGGUCAAUGAAAUUUUUCUGUCUCAUUUAUCAGCUAACUUGGUCCUCUUCCCCUGGGAACAAAACUGAGAAGGGUUAAGAGAUAAUGUGGAAACAAACUCCCCAGCACUUGCCUAAGAGGGCAGCUGUGUACCCAGACCUUCUUUCCUCUAUGUCAUUGUACUAGAAAGAGAGAGUUCCAUACUCUUUAAUCUGAAUAGUUGGCACUCACUUAAAAAAGAAUGCAGCCUGAUUCCUCUCUGCCCCUCUAGCUAUUUCCAGAAAGUUGUUCAUGGGAUGAAUUGAAAGCCAACAAAGGGAGUUGUUAGUACAUAUUUCCAGGAAUGAAGUUGUCUGGAUGCAGCUAAUGCCUCCAUAGAACUGACAGUGCUGAAUUUACGAAAUGGAAAGAGUUCUGGAAAAGCAAGAAAAAAAGUCUUGUUUGAAACCCCACGUCUACUGUAGGCACAGAAGGGAAUGGAGGCAUCUGAGCAUUUUAUUUUCCAUCUCUACAGCACCUCAGAACACCUACAUUUUAUUUUUUUUCUUCUCAGAAAUGUCUUAAUAAGAGGACUGCAGUGUACUCAAGUUUCCCAAUGACAGGGUAGGGAUGCCAACCUUCUCUUUCAUUGGCAGCUCAUAGUAUCCAAGUUUCUCAAAACCCUAAGCCAUCUUAUUUGUUCUUUGGAACUUUGUGGCCUACCACAGUGCAAUUCUCAUUCGGUGUUUAAUAAAAUAUUUGUUAGCUCUUUUCUAAUUGAGAAGGUUCUGUUCUUUUCGCCUCAAGAAAUCACUUAGAAUACAAAUAGCAGUGCACAAUAAUUAGAUUUCAUUGAAUGUAAUUGAUUUGAAUGUUCAUGAAACAGUGCCUCCAGUAUGUUUUGUUUCACUUAAACUUUGAUGACACUUGAGAAGUUGCCUUGCCUUACCUAUCUGCCACCCCACCACUCCUCAGCAUCCGAUAGGCUGCUGUUCCUGUGCCAUCACUGUUGUUUGUCUGAAAGCCUUUUAAUUCGCUGUGGGUGAAGUUGAAUAGGAG
rnacentral:lncRNA from 1 species